UGAGUGUUUAUGCAUUUGAGACUUUGGUUUUCAAGGAGUAGAUAUUUUCUAUGUUUGC
rnacentral:tRNA from 1 species